CGGGAGAUUUUUCACCCUGCAUGGGGUGCAGGUGGUCGGAGGUUCAAAUCCUCUCGCCCCGACCA
rnacentral:tRNA from 1 species